rnacentral:rRNA from 1 species
UACAGAGGUGGCAAGCGUUGUCCGGAAUCAUUGGGCGUAAAGCGCGCGUAGGCGGCCUGGUAAGUCCGCUGUGAAAGUCAAAGGCUCAACCUUUGAAUGUCAGCGGAUACUGCCAGGCUAGAGUCCGGAAGAGGCGAGUGGAAUUCCUGGUGUAGCGGUGGAAUGCGCAGAUAUCAGGAGGAACACCAACGGCGAAGGCAGCUCGCUGGGACGGUACUGACGCUGAGGCGCGAAAGCGUGGGGAGCGAACAGG